CUGGCGGCAUGCCUUACACAUGCAAGUCGAACGCGAAAGCGGGGCAACCCGCAAGUAGAGUGGCGAACGGGUGAGUAAUACAUCGGAACAUUUCCAGUAGCGGGGGAUAACCUGUCGAAAGAUAGGCUAAUACCGCAUACGACCUACGGGUGAAAGCGGAGGACCGCAAGGCUUCGCACUAUUGGAGUGGCCGAUGUCGGAUUAGCUAGUUGGCGGGGUAAAAGCCCACCAAGGCUACGAUCCGUAGCUGGUCUGAGAGGACGAUCAGCCACACUGGAACUGAGACACGGUCCAGACUCCUACGGGAGGCAGCAGUGGGGAAUUUUGGACAAUGGGCGCAAGCCUGAUCCAGCCAUGCCGCGUGAGUGAAGAAGGCCUUCGGGUUGUAAAGCUCUUUCGGUGGGGACGAAACGGUUCGUGCUAAUACCACGGACUAAUGACGGUACCCGAAGAAGAAGCACCGGCUAACUACGUGCCAGCAGCCGCGGUAAUACGUAGGGUGCAGGCGUUAAUCGGAAUUACUGGGCGUAAAGCGUGCGCAGGCGGUUUGCUAAGACAGAUGUGAAAUCCCCGGGCUUAACCUGGGAACUGCGUUUGUAACUGGCAAGCUAGAGUGUGGCAGAGGGGGGUAGAAUUCCAGGUGUAGCAGUGAAAUGCGUAGAUAUCUGGAGGA
rnacentral:rRNA from 1 species